GACGAACCGUGCAAACGUUAUUCGGAAUCACUGGGCAUAAAGGGCGCGUAGGCGGCUCCAAAAGUCAGGGGUGAAAUCCGGCAGCUCAACUGUCGAAGUGCCUUUGAUACUGAUUUGCUCGAGGGAUAUAGGGGUCUGUGGAACUUCUGGUGGAGCGGUGAAAUGCGUUGAUAUCAGAAGGAACGCCGGUGGCGAAAGCGACGGACUGGAUAUCUUCUGACGCUGAGGCGCGAAAGCUAGGGGAGCAAACGGG
rnacentral:rRNA from 1 species